rnacentral:rRNA from 1 species
CGGUGUUUAACUGGCGUGAUGUGGGACGUCCUACCGGUGGGCUUAGCCUCGCGAGGGGCGGCCCAACUAAUAUCCCGUCGCGGUGCUCUUUACUGAGUGUCGAGUCGGGCCGGUACGUUUACUUUGAACAAAUUAGAGUGCUUAAAGCAGGCUAUCCUCGCCUGAAUACUGCGUGCAUGGAAUAAUGGAAUAGGACCUCGGUUCUAUUUUGUUGGUUUUCGGAACCCCGAGGUAAUGAUUAAUAGGGACGGAUGGGGGCAUUCGUAUUGCGACGUUAGAGGUGAAAUUCUUGGAUCGUCGCAAGACGGACAGAAGCGAAAGCAUUUGCCAAAAAUGUUUUCAUUAAUCAAGGACGAAAGUUAGAGGUUCGAAGGCGAUCAGAUACCGCCCUAGUUCUAACCAUAAACGAUGCCAGCUAGCGAUCCGCCGAAGUUCCUCCGAUGACUCGGCGGGCAGCUUCCGGGAAACCAAAGCUUUUGGGUUCCGGGGGAAGUAUGGUUGCAAAGCUGAAACUUAAAGGAAUUGACGGAAGGGCACCACCAGGAGUGGAGCCUGCGGCUUAAUUUGACUCAACACGGGAAACCUCACCAGGCCCAGACACCGGAAGGAUUGACAGAUUGAUAGCUCUUUCUUGAUUCGGUGGGUGGUGGUGCAUGGCCGUUCUUAGUUGGUGGAGCGAUUUGUCUGGUUAAUUCCGAUAACGAACGAGACUCUAGCCUGCUAAAUAGGCGUACCUUAUGGUAUCGCGAAGGCCCCCGGCUUCGGCCGGUGGGUUUUUACUACCAACGUACAAACAAAUCUUCUUAGAGGGACAGGCGG